rnacentral:rRNA from 1 species
GACGAACGCUGGCGGCGUGCUUAACACAUGCAAGUCGAACGGUAAGGCCCUUCGGGGUACACGAGUGGCGAACGGGUGAGUAACACGUGGGUGAUCUGCCCUGCACUUCGGGAUAAGCCUGGGAAACUGGGUCUAAUACCGGAUAGGACUCCUGGCUUCAUGGUUGGGGGUGGAAAGCUUUUGCGGUGUGGGAUGGGCCCGCGGCCUAUCAGCUUGUUGGUGGGGGAAUGGCCUACCAAGGCGACGACGGGUAGCCGGCCUGAGAGGGUGACCGGUCACACUGGGACUGAGAUACGGCCCAGACUCCUACGGGAGGCAGCAGUGGGGAAUAUUGCACAAUGGGCGCAAGCCUGAUGCAGCGACGCCGCGUGAGGGAUGACGGCCUUCGGGUUGUAAACCUCUUUCAGCUAUGACGAAGCGCAAGUGACGGUAGUAGCAGAAGAAGGACCGGCCAACUACGUGCCAGCAGCCGCGGUAACAC